rnacentral:rRNA from 1 species
AAUUAACUAAACUUUUUUUUUAUUAAUUCAUAUAUAGAUGAUUAAUUGAUCCAAUUUUUUUGAUUAUAAGAAAAAACUACCUUAGGGAUAACAGCGUAWUUUUUUUUUARAGUUCAAAUCAAAAAAAAARAUUGCRACCUCGAUGUUGGAUUAAAAUUAAGGAAUUGGUGUAGGASCUAUUCUUUUAAGUCUGUUCGACUUUUAAAAUUUUACAUGAUCUGAGUUUAAACCGGUGUGAGCCA